rnacentral:rRNA from 1 species
AGCGAACGCUGGCGGCAGGCCUAACACAUGCAAGUCGAACGAAGUCUUCGGACUUAGUGGCGGACGGGUGAGUAACACGUGGGAACGUGCCUUUAGGUUCGGAAUAACUCAGGGAAACUUGUGCUAAUACCGAAUGUGCCCUUCGGGGGAAAGAUUUAUCGCCUUUAGAGCGGCCCGCGUCUGAUUAGCUAGUUGGUGAGGUAAAGGCUCACCAAGGCUACGAUCAGUAGCUGGUCUGAGAGGAUGACCAGCCACAUUGGGACUGAGACACGGCCCAAACUCCUACGGGAGGCAGCAGUGGGGAAUCUUGCGCAAUGGGCGAAAGCCUGACGCAGCCAUGCCGCGUGUAUGAUGAAGGUCUUAGGAUUGUAAAAUACUUUCACCGGUGAAGAUAAUGACUGUAGCCGGAGAAGAAGCCCCGGCUAACUUCGUGCCAGCCGCCGCGGUAAAAC